UACAGAGGUCUCAAGCGUUGUUCGGAUUCAUUGGGCGUAAAGGGUGCGUAGGCGGCGCGGUAAGUCGGGUGUGAAAUCUCGGAGCUUAACUCCGAAACUGCAUUCGAUACUGCCGUGCUUGAGGACUGGAGAGGAGACUGGAAUUUACGGUGUAGCGGUGAAAUGCGUAGAUAUCGUAAGGAAGACCAGUGGGCGAAGGCGAGUCUCUGGACAGUUACUGACGCUGAGGCACGGAAGGCCCAGGGGGAGCAAACGGG
rnacentral:rRNA from 1 species